rnacentral:rRNA from 1 species
UACGAAGGGUGCAAACGUUGCUCGGAAUUAUUGGGCGUAAAGCGCACGUAGGCGGCUCUAUAAGUCGGAUGUGAAAUCCCUCGGCUCAACCAAGGAAGUGCAUCCGAAACUGUGGAGCUUGAGUACUUAAGAGGAUCGCGGAAUUCCCGGUGUAGAGGUGAAAUUCGUAGAUAUCGGGAGGAACACCAGUGGCGAAGGCGGCGAUCUGGGAAGAUACUGACGCUGAGGUGCGACAGCGUGGGGAGCAAACGAGG